rnacentral:rRNA from 1 species
CCCCUAGAUGUUCUGGGCCGCACGCGCGCUACACUGAACAGUUCAACAAGUCUUAACCUUGGCCGAUAGGUCUGGGUAAUCUUUGAACGCUGUUCGUGAUUGGGAUAGACCUUUGCAAUUAUGGGUCUUCAACGAGGAAUUCCUAGUAAACGCAAGUCAUCAGCUUGCAUUGAUUACGUCCCUGCCCUUUGUACACACCGCCCGUCGCACCUACCGAGUGAAUGGUCCGGUGAAAUCUCGGGACGGCGGCUUGGUCGCUUGCGUCCGACUGCUGAAACUUGAUUAAACCAUAUCAUUUAGAGGAAGGUGAAGUCGUANCA